AUGAAAGUCUCAGGUUUAGCUUUAUUCAUCAUGUGGUCAAGAGGACCACACUGGAGGCUUGUUAAAAAUAAUAUGAAAGUUGAAAGAAUGGCCCACUGCCAUUGUUGUGCAGUGUCUUACCCAAGUGGAAACCAGCACAUCGUAAUUAAAAAACUAGAAAUCUGCUUUCUUUUAAUCUAUGAAAUUUUAAAUCUUUUAAUCAAAUUCUGACCCUCUGUCUCCCCUAAAAAUUUCACUGGGAUUUUGAUUGANNNNNNNNNNNNNNNNNNNNNNNNNNNGGGGGGGGUGGAAUCUGCAUCAUUCCAAUAUUUUGUCUUUCCACCCAGCAGUACGGUGUACUUCUCUAGUCACUCAAUUCUGUCAGAAAAAUUUCAGUGUUAUUUAGUUUUCAUUUAGUUUACUUCAGGAUAUUUUUGUUGUUGCUGCUGUUAAUAAACACUAUCUGUAAAAAUAUUUUUCUAAUGGCUUGUGCUGGUAUGUAGAAACACUAUUAAUUUCAGGGCUAUUGAUUCUGUAGUUGGCCAUGUUACUAAACUCAUUUAAUGGGUCUAAUACCCUUAUCUAUCCUUUCACUCAUUUUGUAAAUACUCAUGGAGUGCUUACACUGUGCAACGCACUAUUCUAGGUCUUGGAAGUAAGCAGUUAAAAAAAAAAAAACCUGUUCUCAAGAUCUUUACAUUCUACUGAGAGAAAACACUGAACAAAUAAAUAUAUGCCAGGUGGUGCUAAGUGCUAAGAAGGUGGGAAAGCAUAGUGAGAGGAGGGAAACCGACCAUAAAAAAACACUACUUUGGAUAAUGUGUUUAAAUAAGCCCCCUCUGAUAAGUUGAACUUUGAGGAGAGACCUAAAAUGAUGCUUUUCUUGGGUUUUCCCAGUAGAUAUUCAUGUCAUCAUAUGCCCCCCGCACCCCACCCCACAGCAGGGCCCCAUGCUCCUGGAAGGCUGGCUGUCCAGCGGCAGUGAUACCAAAGAUCUAGCCUGUGAAGGAGGCUUCUAGGGUUCUCAGUGGCCGUGUUUCAGCACUGUCAGUGUUCAAAGAUUUAAAUAACGGCUCCGGAAGUCUUUCCAGCCGCAACCCCACGCGGAUUUUAGAGGUUCACAGAGUUCAGGGUGCUGCUGGCCAGUUUACUCUUCCCUUCCCCUCCCAAAUCACGG
rnacentral:lncRNA from 1 species